rnacentral:snoRNA from 1 species
GUCCAUGAAGAUCUGAUCCAAAUAAUUGAGAUGCAUUUGAUCUCAAGUCCCUGAAAAGGGAGAACCUACUUGGGGUUGGUACAUUAGUACAUGAAAUUACUGGAUAUGUCUGAGAC